ACAGCAUAGCUAAUGGAGUACACGCAGACACUAUGAUGAACUGACCAGUGGACAUCUUUCAUGAGCUCCGAAAUCCUGUGCAGAAUGACCUAUUGCUGAUCAGAGAGAAGAUGUUCACACUUUUUUUUUUUAAAUUUAUGUAGCGUUAUAACUCAUUGCUAUCCAGAGGAGGAGGUUUCUGGAAGAUAAAAUGCUGCCAUCUGUGGAGCAUGUAUUUAUCAACAGUACCAAAGUCCCCUUGGAAGGGUUACCAGGAAGAUUAGGUUGACCUUUCAAUCACUGUCUGGCAGGUCUUUCCCAAAAACAUGGGAAGCAUUUCCUGUGUCAUGAAGCAAGAAAAUAAAUUUUUUAAAAUUUCAAUUUUUAAAAAAAUAAAAUCCAUACUACACAUGUUUCUUUGAUACCAGAAAAAGAUUUUCCAAAAUGGGAAGAAGAAACCCUGCCAAAAUGUUCAAGUGAAGGCUAAUAGGACCUUCAGCCAAGAGCAUUUACAAGAAUUCUGAAUUAAUUCCUGGUGAAGUAUCUAUUUCAAAAAAAACACAUAAAAUGCUGCUAUUAUAGUCCUCCCGAAGUCCUACUUUAUCAUCAAUGUAUCUGAGUACAUCUUGAAGUCAUGAUUAACUCAUUUAAAAGUUCACUUGUGUAUGCUUAUAACUCCUGUUCACAGAAGCUCAAUGCAUUUUUCUAGUAUUCACUUACUGGAAAUUUUUUCUAGCAAAAUAUAAGCUCAUGAGAAUAAUCAAUCCCAGAGACAGAGGAGACAAAUAAAGAAAAAAAAAAGGUGUUGGAAGGUAGAGGAGAUAAAUGGAUCUGAAUAACAAAUGAAAUUUUCUCUCUGGUCCCAGUACUUUUCUCCCAGAUGAAAGAUGCUGGAUGCUGGCAUUGCUGACACUUCUGAUGUGAGGCCAAGGAGAUCAAUGCAGGAGGAGACCUCUUAAACAGGGGCUUUAUCAAGAAUGGCCUACCACAUUCAUCCAUUGGCCCGCUACCAUCUUUGAUGUCCAAGCCAGCUAGAUCAAGACAUGAUUGUGUUUUUAACUAGCAUUCAACCUUUAGGUUUUACAAUAGAAUUAUUUCCCCAAAUCUGCCAUGUGCUGUUUUCUAGAGUGGAUUGACAAUUAUUCUCUGGACUUUUUGGUAACCAAGAACUUCUAGCAACUAACCCUGGCAUGACCACCAGAAUCUGCAGGGCUGAGAGAAGAAAGAAAGGCAAAAGUGGAUGAAUGCAGCUGAAGAUGCUGUGGAACUCCUAUCACAUUCCAAGUGCUGUGUUGAUAUCUGGAGAUAUAGACAAGAUCGAAGCAGAUGCAGUCUUUCACAUGAAUAUUUGAAUCAGGCACAGGAUGCAGGUGAUGGGUAUUGGCCUCAGCUUUAGAGACCAGAGGUUAAAUCUCAGUGCUGCCUGCCACAAAACGAUCCAUGUAAGUCAAUAAACAAUGCUUUUUAAAAUAUUAUUAUAAAGA
ensembl:lncRNA LINC02612 long intergenic non-protein coding RNA 2612